UUUUUUUUUUUUUUUUUUUUUUUUUUUUUUUUUUUUUUUUUUUGCCCACAAUGUUCUAUUAAACUCUCCGGAACGUCUGCAAUGCAG
rnacentral:ribozyme from 1 species